UUCUUAGACCUGUGCGACGGUUUUUUGAGAAAUCGGGUCAGGCGGGGAACCGAGCAGCCCAGCUUAUGACGCUGUGCGCCGCAGUCAUCUGAGAGGAG
rnacentral:SRP_RNA from 1 species